rnacentral:misc_RNA from 1 species
GAACUUCAGUAUCUUUGGGAAAGAUCAUCAUCCUUGUUCUUGUGUGAGGUUUUAUGCGUGAAAUGAAGCUGUAGCACGCAGGGUAUUGGAGAUUUUCUCAGCUUUUUGCACUCUUAUUUCUUCUGCGUGCAACUUCCAGCUAACUAAUAUAAGGAGUACCCAUCCUUUCUUAGUUCUUUUCCAAAGCAUGAACUUGUGAAUCUUGUUCAAGUAAUGCAGCUUGGCAUCUACUAAGAAACGCUUGUAUUUUGUAUUUGAUGUGUGAACUAUAAUGGGCUUGUAUUUUGAUCAGGUG